rnacentral:misc_RNA from 1 species
CGCAUCUUGCGCUCCUUGGUAUUCCGAGGAGCAUGCCUGUUUGAGUGUCAUUAAAUUCUCAACUCUCUUAUACUUUUUGUAAAAGAGAGCUUGGACUGUGGAGGCUUGCUGGCCACUUUUUGGGGUCAGCUCCUCUGAAAUGCAUUAGCGGAACCGUUUGCGAUCUGCCACAAGUGUGAUAAGUUAUCUACACUGGCGAGGGGAUUGCUCUCUGUAAUGUUCAGCUUCUAACUGUCUCUACUUUGUGAGACUACUUUUGAAUGCUUGACCUCAAAUCAGGUAGGACUACCCGCUGAACUUAA